rnacentral:misc_RNA from 1 species
GUGAGUCAUCGAAUCUUUGAACGCAUAUUGCGCCCUCUGGUAUUCCGGGGGGCAUGCCUGUCCGAGCGUCAUUGCUACCCUCAAGCAUGGCUUGUGUGUUGGGCCCUGUCUUCUGUAGACUAGCCUAAAAACAAGUGGCGUUGCCAUGUCCGGUGCCCGAGCGUAUGGGGCUUUGUCACUCGCUCUGCAUGGCCCCGGCGGCUCUACGCCAGCUAAAUGUAGAAUCAUCUCCUCCAUAGUUGACCUCGGAUCAGGUAGGGAUACCCGCUGAACUUAAGCAUAUCAAUAAGCGGAGGA